AGACAUUAAUCUUAAGUAUCCAGGGAGCCCUAAAACAUUGUAUCCCACUAGCAAGGACCAUGGUAAUUGCCACGUAAAUCCCCUCCAUUAUGUGGCCCUUAUUAUGACCAGCCAGCCAAGGCUUGCCUUUAAAUCAUACCAAUUGAACCGAGCCUUGUAGAAACACUAUCACCUACGCAUACCUCUGCUUCUUUUCAUUAACCUGCUAUCCUCUUUACAAAUGGGAUUCUUCACCCACUCCCUUCUUCUAGAUUAGCAAUGCCCUGUUAAGUAAACGAACACGAAAUUCAAAGGGAAACAGGAGCAAUCAUCAUUACCAGCUGCCGUGUUAAGCAUUGCGAAAACGCUCACGAUUCACAGAAAAAUCCAUGCUGUUCUUUGAAGGCAUUCAAGCCUUAAUAGCUAGCUGGAUGAAUGUUUAACUUCUAGGCCAGGCACUACUCUGUCCCAACAAUAAGCCCUGUACAUUGGGAAAGGUGCCGAGACAUGAACUUUGGUCUUCUCUGCAAUCCAUCUGGAGCAUUCACUGACAACAUCGACUUUGAAGUUGCACUGACCUGGCCAGCCCUGCCACUUACCAGGUUGGAUUGCAAACUCCUAGAGAAGGGCUCAACAGUGAGUGCUGAGGCUGCACAGAGGAGGAAGGCAGCACAAUGAUGGAAGGCUUCCUAAAGAGAUAACACUAACAAAGUUGACCUUAGAAUUGGAGUGCCUGGGUUAGAACCCUGCUGGUACCACCUGCUUACUGCAUGCUUCUGAUGUGAGUUCAGGAGAAGACACUGGCAAGGACAGCAAAGAACAGGAGAACACUCUAGCUUCCCUGAUAGCAUUCAAGGUGCUGUCCAAACUGACUGUGAUGGCACCCUCCAGACAGACAGCGAUGCCACAUGUUCAAGAUGGCAGAAUCACUAUCAGCUUCAAUUCCUGAAUGACUGCAGAGCAAAAUUUCUUACCUGCAACAUACACUCUAUUUUCAGCCUCCCUGGACUGUUACAUAAUGAUACAUAAAAAUAUUUCUUGUGUUGAGGCAUCCCAAAUUUGAUUUAUUUGUCAUCACAGUCUAUCCUAUGAAUAUAUUUCUGAUCCAAAUAAUGCUAGAUUCAUGAGAGUUUAUAGUCCAGAGAUUUUUUUUUUUUUUUUGAGACAGAAUCUGUCUCCCAGGCUGGGGUGCAGUGGCAUAAUCUUAGCUCACUGCAACCUCUGCCUCCCGGGCUCAAGUGAUCCUCCCUCCUUAGCCUCCAUGAGUAGCUGGGACCACAGGUGUGCACCACCACACCCCGCUAAUUAUUUUGUAUUUUUUGCAGAGGGGGGUUUCACCACAUUGCCCAAGCUGGUCUCAAACUCCUAGACUUAAGGGAUCUGCCUGCCUUGGCCUCCCAAAAUGCUGAAAUUACACUUGUUAGCCAUAGUAAUAGUUCCUAGCCAUAGUCCGGAGAUAUUUUAAAAACUUUAGUGUGAGUUAUUUCUCUUUGCUAUAAUUCUCUCAUGCAUUUUGAAAACCUUUUCUGCCAUACAGUGGUUUUUGGGAAGUCCUUUUGGACAGACAUAUCACAGGAUGGAGAAACUAAAAAGAGAGAAUGCAUUAAAGAAAAAAUAGUACUUCGUAUUUCAGAAAUUACAAAAGGGUGUCAUGCCCCACAGCAUGGUGGGCAGUCAUUUGUAACCCACAGAACAUUGAGUUUCUAAAAUUUGAGUGUUUUUAACUUACGAAGGCCAACUUUACUGAUGAAGUGAUUACCCCAAAUAUGUGAAAUCCAUAUUUCAAGUACAAUAGUAGGAAAUUGGAAAUGGGUAGGUAUAUUUCUGACUGUCAAAGAGUACAAAGUAAAGAGGGGCCCCUGAAGAGUGACACUACUGGAAAAACAGAA
ensembl:lncRNA CASC19 cancer susceptibility 19